rnacentral:rRNA from 1 species
CGCUAGCUACAGGCUUAACACAUGCAAGUCGAGGGGCAGCAGGAUCUAGCAAUAGAUUGCUGGCGACCGGCGCACGGGUGAGUAACACGUAUCCAACCUGCCGAUAACUCGGGGAUAGCCUUUCGAAAGAAAGAUUAAUACCCGAUAGUAUAAUCAGACCGCAUGGUUUGAUUAUUAAAGAAUUUCGGUUAUCGAUGGGGAUGCGUUCCAUUAGGCAGUUGGUGAGGUAACGGCUCACCAAACCUUCGAUGGAUAGGGGUUCUGAGAGGAAGGUCCCCCACAUUGGAACUGAGACACGGUCCAAACUCCUACGGGAGGCAGCAGUGAGGAAUAUUGGUCAAUGGACGCGAGUCUGAACCAGCCAAGUAGCGUGAAGGAUGACUGCCCUAUGGGUUGUAAACUUCUUUUAUAUGGGAAUAAAGUUUUCCACGUGUGGAAUUUUGUAUGUACCAUAUGAAUAAGGAUCGGCUAACUCCGUGCCAGCAGCCGCGGUAAUACGGAGGAUCCGAGCGUUAUCCAGAUUUAUUGGGUUUAAAGGGAGCGUAGGUGGACAGUUAAGUCAGUUGUGAAAGUUUGCGGCUCAACCGUAAAAUUGCAGUUGAUACUGGCUGUCUUGAGUACAGUAGAGGUGGGCGGAAUUCGUGGUGUAGCGGUGAAAUGCUUAGAUAUCACGAAGAACUCCGAUUGCGAAGGCAGCUCACUGGACUGCAACUGACACUGAUGCUCGAAAGUGUGGGUAUCAAACAGGAUUAGAUACCCUGGUAGUCCACACAGUAAACGAUGAAUACUCGCUGUUUGCGAUAUACAGUAAGCGGCCAAGCGAAAGCAUUAAGUAUUCCACCUGGGGAGUACGCCGGCAGCGGUGAAACUCAAAGGAAUUGACGGGGGCCCGCACAAGCGGAGGAACAUGUGGUUUAAUUCGAUGAUACGCGAGGAACCUUACCCGGGCUUAAAUUGCAUUUGAAUAUAUUGGAAACAGUAUAGCCGUAAGGCAAAUGUGAAGGUGCUGCAUGGUUGUCGUCAGCUCGUGCCGUGAGGUGUCGGCUUAAGUGCCAUAACGAGCGCAACCCUUAUCUUUAGUUACUAACAGGUCAUGCUGAGGACUCUAGAGAGACUGCCGUCGUAAGAUGUGAGGAAGGUGGGGAUGACGUCAAAUCAGCACGGCCCUUACGUCCGGGGCUACACACGUGUUACAAUGGGGGGUACAGAAGGCAGCUACCUGGUGACAGGAUGCUAAUCCCAAAAGCCUCUCUCAGUUCGGAUCGAAGUCUGCAACCCGACUUCGUGAAGCUGGAUUCGCUAGUAAUCGCGCAUCAGCCAUGGCGCGGUGAAUACGUUCCCGGGCCUUGUACACACCGCCCGUCAAGCCAUGAAAGCCGGGGGUACCUGAAGUACGUAACCGCAAGGAGCGUCCUAGGGUAAAACUGGUAAUUGGGGCUAA